rnacentral:rRNA from 1 species
GACGAACGCUGGCGGCGUGCUUAACACAUGCAAGUCGAACGAUGAACUUGGAGCUUGCUCUGGGGGAUUAGUGGCGAACGGGUGAGUAACACGUGAGUAACCUGCCCUGGACUCUGGGAUAACUUCGAGAAAUCGGAGCUAAUACCGGACAGGACCUUGCACCGCAUGGUGUGGGGUGGAAAGUUUUUCGGUUUGGGAUGGACUCGCGGCCUAUCAGCUUGUUGGUGAGGUAAUGGCUCACCAAGGCGUCGACGAGUAGCCGGCCUGAGAGGGUGACCGGGCACACUGGGACUGAGACACGGCCCAGACUCCUACGGGAGGCAGCAGUGGGGAAUAUUGCACAAUGGGCGCAAGCCUGAUGCAGCAACGCCGCGUGCGGGAUGACGGCCUUCGGGUUGUAAACCGCUUUUAGUAGGGAAGAAGCCUUCGGGUGACGGUACCUGCAGAAAAAGGACCGGCUAACUACGUGCCAGCCGCCGCCGCGGUAA